rnacentral:antisense_RNA from 1 species
UCAAUGGUGGGCCGGACGGGGGCAUCGUAAGAUGCGCCGGUUUCCAGUAUGGCCGGUAAGGCUAACUCCGUUCGGCGCCACCACCC